CCUACGGGUGGCAGCAGUGGGGAAUAUUGCACAAUGGGCGCAAGCCUGAUGCAGCCAUGCCGCGUGUGUGAAGAAGGCCUUCGGGUUGUAAAGCACUUUCAGCGGGGAGGAAGGCGUUAAGGUUAAUAACCUUGUCGAUUGACGUUACCCGCAGAAGAAGCACCGGCUAACUCCGUGCCAGCAGCCGCGGUAAUACGGAGGGUGCAAGCGUUAAUCGGAAUUACUGGGCGUAAAGCGCACGCAGGCGGUCUGUCAAGUCGGAUGUGAAAUCCCCGGGCUCAACCUGGGAACUGCAUUCGAAACUGGCAGGCUAGGGGCUUGUAGAGGGGGGUAGAAUUCCCGGGGUAGCGGUGAAAUGCGUAGAGAUCUGGAGGAAUACCGGUGGCGAAGGCGGCCCCCUGGACAAAGACUGACGCUCAGGUGCGAAAGCGUGGGGAGCAAACAGGAUUAGAUACCCGUGUAGUC
rnacentral:rRNA from 1 species